GCUUUUACUGUAGCCUGGAAUUGUGUUUUCGGGCUUCGCUUGCGCAGGAAUAGGUGGGAGGCAUUGAAGUUACCCCUUGUGGGGGUAUGGAGCCAACGGUGAGAUACCACUCUGGCGAGGCUAGGAUUCUAACCUUGACCCGUAAUCCGGGAAAGGAAACAGUUUCAGGUGGGCAGUUUGACUGGGGCGGUCGCCUCCUAAAAGGUAACGGAGGCGCGCAAAAGGUUCCCUCAAGCUGGUUGGAAAUCAGCUUUUAGAGUGUAAAGGCAAAAAGGGAGCUUGACUGCAAGAGUGACAACUCAAGCAGGGACGAAAGUCGGCCUUAGUGAUCCGACGGCACUGCAUGGAAAGGGCCGUCGCUUCAAACGGAUAAAAGUUA
rnacentral:rRNA from 1 species